CCCUGCCUCCUGAGUACUGGAGUUAAAAGCAUGCACCACCACCUCCAGGUGAACUUGCACAUUUUGGCCCAACCAGCUAGAAUGUUCUCCCUUCUGUGAGUACAAGAUGAUCCCGUUCCGUCUCCAGACAAGGAAAGGAGGCAUGCCUUCUAGCCAGCAUUGCUGGGGUCAUUACAUCCAUGGCCACUUACUAACUCCACUCCCAUCCCAGCAGACUCAGCCCAUCCACUCCUUGUUUCUUCAUGGCUGGUUAGUAGUCAGGCUGACCAGUUGUAGGACUUGGGAACUCAAGAGCCCAGUGCUGAGCCACUCUACUCUUCAGCUAGUGGCUGAGAAAAGAGAGAACUCUCAGAAUGGGGAAAGGCUGAGACCCGGUUUUGGGUCCUCAGGAAUGAUACCCCAUCUACAGCAUCAACUUGAUGUCACCAAGAGGCUCUUUCUAAAACCUGUGCUAAUGAUUUUGUUUACAAAUUAUUUUUAAAUGAAAUUUAAAAUUGUUUAUACUAUUUGUGUGUGUGUGUGUGAGCAUGUGUUUGCAGAACAGAUUUCCAGAGUUGGUUGGUCCUCUCCUACCACGUAGUUCGUGGGGACUGAACUCAGGCUGUCAGGCUUGCUGGUAGGCACCUUUACCCACUGAGCCAUCUUGCUGGCUCCUGUACUUAUGUUUUUUAAAGGCUAGUUUGGUUCCCGGUCUCUGAAUUCUGGGUGGAGAGUCUUGUGGCCUGGCUCUGCCUCUCAGCCAUCUGCCUGCCCAGUCUCCUGUUUCUUCAUAGAAGUUGGCCCUGGCACGGUCACUGAAGCUUUCAAUACAGUAAAUGGCACUGUUGGAAGCCAUCCCUGGGCCUGCAGAUGCAAUUUCAGUCCCCUCCCUUGGAGAGCUAUGUGCUUCCCCAGUGCUGGAGACAAUGGGACAUUCUAACAGGAGUGGGGGCUAUCUUUCUGGUAAGCCACUUUAUGCAAAGUUCCCCGGGGCUUGGGUUCUAAGGAACAGGGGCCCUAAAGACCACCCCCUUCACAGAUGAAUCCCCUUUACAGCUUUACUGGGCGGGUUCUUAGAAAUGCAUAGGGGAAUUUCUAAAGUCCCCAGGUGCCCUGGCCUCAGCUGCUCACCCAGAACCCCAUUCUUUCUCAUUCACUCAGCCUCUUGUCUUUCUCACUCCAUGUAUGCUGUAGUCUUCUGUCCCCGAACUGCUGUGUGUUCCUUCCUGCUUAGUGGCUUUUGAAUCAGCUUCAGGGAUCUUUACUAUUGCUUUAGUUUGACACUUUCUCCUCCCACAGCCUGGGAGCUGGUUGGUUCUUUUAUUUUGGGGCAGGCCCGGACUACUCAGAGGGCUGUUAGAUAUGUCAGGGCUCAGGCAGCCUGAGGCCCUGGAUGCUGCUCUGCAUGCCCAUACCAGGCCUAGCUGUGCUAUUUUGCCAAGGUUUCCAGGCCCUGGCCUACUUUCUGGGUCCCCAGGCAUUCUGCCUUCAGGAAGGGGAGGGGAGCCUGGCCUGUUGAGAGCUUGCAACUUUGUAUCUGCUUGAGCAACCUCUCCAGUCGGUUAGAAUCAAAGGCUCAAAGAAGACAACCAAGGAUUCGGAAAGGGAUGAUGGAUGGAGACAGAGGAGACUAAAAGUCUCCCAUUUCCGAAUGGACAAGUCGGAAGCUGAAAGCUGGAAAGAAUUGAAUCAAGAUAAUGGAAUAUUUUAGAAUUAAGAAGAAAUGAGUUGUCAAGUCGUGAAAAGAACCUCACAUGGGGGUUAACUCAAGAAGCAGGAUGGACGAAAAGGCUACGUACUAUUGUAUUCCAAGUAGAGGACAUAAUGAAGACAGCAAAAAGAUCGGUGGUCCUGGAGUUGACUGAUAACAUCAGGAAACCUCUGGGUGGGACCUUGGAGCACACUGGCCAUUUUGCCACAUUCCUCCUUAAUCACGACCCGGAUGUUCCCAUCUGCCUCUCCCUGUGAAGACGUUGGUAGGCUCGGUACAGUCCAUGAUGGAUGCUCCUGGCGUUUGGAAAGCUUUGCCUCCAAAGCUUUUUCAUCUGUGUUCCUCAAGGCGGUGGCCUCUUGGGUAGAGAGAAGUGGGCUAAAGAGUCUAUUCUCAUUCAUUAUCUAUGACAUAUGGCUUUCUCACAAGUGCACCGUUCUUACAUUUAAAGGGCAAUGGCCGGAAAACAGGGGGAGGGGCGUGGAUGAGGUAAGAGUGAGUUCCUUAACCACUGAAGUCCAGGCAGACUCUGGGGUUUCACACAGCACCUCACCUAACCCUUCAGCAGCCCUUCCUCACACCCCCACUUCACAGAUGAGGAAACACAGCCUCCCAAAGUCUAAAAAGGUUCACCAAGUCCCUGCCUCUAAGUCCACUGCAGACGGUCAGGUUGAUUUGUGCAGCAGGAACAUUACUAAGUCUAUGCUGAGUUGGUCGCCCAGAGGUGAACCCUUUUUGAGAGGCUUUGCUUUUUGGCUCUUAAGCAUGUUAGGGUUUGAGCUCAGUGGGGGACUCAAGCACCUUGUAUGACUUCAUUUCUUCCCCUUGGGGCUGCUUUCUUUCAGCUUGGGCCUGGGUCUCCUCACUCAGCACCCGCCUCUCCCUCAGAGAGCUGGGCUAGCAGGUAUAGGUUUGAGUUCUCCAGGCUUAGGGCAGUGUGGUCUCUCCGUCCCCUUGGCUGAAAGGACAUGCUUUUGUUUGUUUGUUUGUUUGUUCUCUCUAGAUAUAGUCCAGCCUUCCUCCUCUCUCUUGGCCUUGCUGAAGUCUGAUGAGGUCUGUCGCUUUCCCAGCCUCAGUGUCUCUAUCUGUGAGCCGGGCCUCAGGGCUCUAUUAGGAGGCUACACUCCGUGCCCUCCCACAUCCUGGCCCUGCAGAAAAUAAGCCACCUGCCGAGGAUAUUUUCAGAUACAGCUUAAUUGAAUAAAUCAUGACAGGAAAGAGACCGCCUGGUGACAGUUCCCCUGGCUUCUUGGAAGGCCUGGAGCUGGUUUCUGAGAGAGCAGAGGAUGUUGCAAGCUCUGUGCUGGGCCCCUCCCUCUCUGCCCGGCCAAACUGAGCUCCAGACCCAGGCUUCUCUCUCUCCCCAGAAAAAGCCCUGCUGCAGGAGACUGUCCCCAUUUCCUUCUACCUCUGAGCAGCGCUGGGCUUCUUUUGCAUCUAUGUAUGUUGAUCAGGUGCCAGUUUUUAAAGAACACCAGUUGGGUUCCUGCCUGGAAUAGGGUGGGUUAGAGGCCCCGGGGAGAUGAGCAGGGCACAGUCAGCUCUUCGCUGUGAGCUGUUCAUCGUCUUUAACCGACUUUAAGGCAGGAACACACUUGUGAAGGAAAGUAUGUACCUGUGAUAAGAUCAGUGUCUGCUGCUGGGGACUGGGAACCUCAGGGCCAGCUGGGGAGAUGAGAGAGCUUUGCUAAGCUGCUUCUCUGCUCCCAUUCCCUUCUUCUUUGUUGGCCUUUCUCAAAUAGGCUCUCAGGUACUAGUGUCUAUAUCAGGAACCAGCGCACAGAAAUGUUCUCAUUUUAGUUCACAAGCUCACAUAUGCAAGAGCUAAUUCUCUUUGAUAUCCUUUCUCUCUCUCUCUCUCUCUCUGUCACACAUACACACACACACACAAAGCCUCAUGUCAUAUAUUCCAGGCCUAUUUGGGACUCACCAUGCAGCCAAGAAUGGCCUUGAUUUUCUGACCUUCCCUUUUAAAUACUGAGAUUACAGGUGUGAGUGUACAGGGGAUUCCACUAGCCUGCCCCCAAGGGACCUAGUUAUCACUUCUGUCAUCAUCUGCCACCUGCCAGGUGCCUGCGGUUGGAUAAAAGGACCCCACACCCACCCUCAGCUCUCUAUUUGUCCUCAGCGUCCCCCCUCUCCCUCUCUGCCUCCCUUUUCUCUGCCCUCGUGACUGCUCCCGUUUGUCUGCCGGUCUACAUACCCACUCGCCUGACUCUACCCCUUCCUUGGGUCCUCUUUCCUCCCUCCUUCCCCUAGUAAACCCCUUUUAUACCAGGUCUGUUGCAUGGUGUAAUUUUUCAGGGGCAUACCUUGGCAUGGGCCCACUGUGGUACCCCUUGCUGCUUUAUAUUUCAUAACAACAGAUCUGUGCUAAUAUGCCUGGUGUAUAUGGUGCUUGGGUUGAACUAGGGCUUCGUGGGUACCAGGCAAGUACUUUUCAGUUAAACUGUGUCCACUGUCCCUAUUACCAUUGUUUUAAAGCUAUAUGGGAAGUGUUUGGAAACAAUAGUGAAAACCUGACUAGGCGAGUGGAGGCAGGUGGAUCGGGACUUCAAGGCCAUCCUCAGCUACGUGCUAGCCCCACCUCAGAUAAGCCUGUGUGGCUCUAAAAGCCUGAUAAGAAUUCUUUCUUCUUUCCCUUCUUUCUUUCAAGUGGGUGUGUGUGCACAUGAGUACACUACACUACAAGUUGGUUUUCUUUUCCUACCAUGAAUUACAGGGACUAAACUCAGGUCACUGGGCUUCCACAGCAAGCACUUUCGACUUCUGGGCUCUCUCCCCAUCUGUCUUAGUCAGGGUUUCUAUUCCUGAAUAAAACAUCAUGACCAAGAAGCAAGUUGGGGAGGAAAGGGUUUAUUCAGCUUGUGUCAAGUUGACACAUAAAACCAGCCAGUACACCAUCCUAGACACUCUGCCUGCCUGCCUGCCUUCCCUCCUCUUCUGUUCCCUCUUUCUUUUAUAUCCCACUGCAGGGCUCCCCUUCUCUUCUCAGCCUGCCCCCCACUUCCCCUCUUCCCCUCCAGGAAAGGGCGGGCCUCUCAUGGAUGUCAACCAGCCAUGGCAUGUCAAGUUGCAGUGAGACUAGGCACCUCCUUUUCUGUUACGGCUACACAAGGCAGCCCAGUAGAGGAAAGCGACAGAGUCAGAGACAGCCCCUGCUCCCACUGUUAGGAGUCCCACAGGAAGACCAAGCUACACAACUGUAACAUAUGUAAAAGGGUUUACUUAGGCCAGUCCCAUACAGGCUCCCCAGUUGGUGGUUCAGUCUCUUCGAGCUCCUAGAAACUCGGGUUAGUUGAUUCUGUGGGUUUUCUUGGUGUGUCUCUGACCACUGUGUCUACUACAACCCUCUCCUUCUUUCUCAGAAUUUCCCAAGCUCCACCUAGUGUUUGGCUGUGGUCUUUGUGUCUGUUUCCAUCAGUUGCUGGGUGAAGCCUCUCUGAUGACAAUGGGGCUAGGCUCUGGUCUGUGAGUAUAGCAGGGUAUAAUUAGGAAUUAUUUUAUCGCCUUUAUUUUUUUUUUUCCAGUCAUGUUUGGUUCUAUCCUAGGUCUCUGGACUGUCUGGCUUCUGGGUCCUAGCUCUCCAGACAGUGUCUGGUGGGCUUCCUUUUAUGGCUUGGGUCUCAAGCUGGACCAGUCAUUGGUUGACCAUUCCCACAAUUUCUGUGUCACCUUUGCCUUAGCACAGGACGAAUUCAGGUUCCAUAUCCUCCCAUUGCUAAGAAUCGUAGCUAGGGUCCCCUUCAUAGAUUUCUGGGAGUUUCCAUUGCAUUAGAUUUCUAGCUCAUCCCAGAGAUGCUCCUCUGAUUCCAGUCAUCUCUCCCAGCACUCUCUCCCUUCAUUUCCCCCACCUGAUCAAUCCUGUUCCCAUCCCUACCUCCCCAUCCAGAUCCCUCACUCCCCCACCCCCAUCCACCUGCACUACUAGACACACAUUGUUGUGUAUUCCUUCACCAACCAAUGAGUACGUGUGCCCUGUUUAUUAAAUUAUUAUUUUAAAGUGA